AGAGUUUGAUCCUGGCUCAGAAGCGAACGCUGGCGGCGUGCUUAACACAUGCAAGUCGAGUGCGCAGUCUUCUGUAGCAAUACAGGAGGCUGGCGCACGGCGCACGGGUGCGUAACACGUGGGCAAUCUGCCCUCGGAUGGGGGAUAACCCCGCGAAAGCGGGGCUAAUACCGCAUGACAUUCCGAAGACUCCGGUCUUUGGACUCAAAGGCCGCAAGGCCGUCUGAGGAGGAGCCCGCGCCCGAUUAGCUAGUUGGUGAGGUAACGGCUCACCAAGGCUUUGAUCGGUAGCCGGUCUGAGAGGAUGGCCGGCCACACUGGAACUGAGACACGGUCCAGACUCCUACGGGAGGCAGCAGUGGGGAAUAUUGCGCAAUGGGCGAAAGCCUGACGCAGCGACGCCGCGUGGGGGAUGAAGCUUCUCGGAGUGUAAACCCCUUUCGACCCGGACGAAUGACCCGCAAGGGUUUGACGGUACGGGUAUAAGAAGCCCCGGCUAACUACGUGCCAGCAGCCGCGGUAAUACGUAGGGGGCCAGCGUUGCUCGGAAUUACUGGGCGUAAAGGGUUCGUAGGUGGUGCGGCAAGUCGGAAGUGAAAUCUCUGGGCUUAACUCAGAGGCUGCUUUCGAAACUGCCGUGCUCGAGUGCGGGAGAGGCCAGUGGAAUUGCGGUGUAGCGGUGAAAUGCGUAGAUAUCUGCAGGAACACCCGUGGCGAAGGCGGCUGGCUGGACCGCAACUGACACUGAGGAACGAAAGCUAGGGGAGCAAACAGGAUUAGAUACCCCUGUAGUCC
rnacentral:rRNA from 1 species